rnacentral:rRNA from 1 species
GUCCACGCCCUAAACGAUGCGAACUGGAUGUUGGGCUCAACUUGGAGCUCAGUAUCGAAGCUAACGCGUUAAGUUCGCCGCCUGGGGAGUACGGUCGCAAGACUGAAACUCAAAGGAAUUGACGGGGGCCCGCACAAGCGGUGGAGUAUGUGGUUUAAUUCGAUGCAACGCGAAGAACCUUACCUGGCCUUGACAUGCACGGAACUUUCCAGAGAUGGAUUGGUGCCUUCGGGAACCGUGACACAGGUGCUGCAUGGCUGUCGU